GAACCCCCUCUCAUUCCUAUCUCCUUCAACCAAACCCUAAGAGACCAUCCGCCACUAAAUUCCUCGCCGCCUCCGUCGCUAACCACCACCGAAAAUCACCUCACGACGGUUCCGGUGUUCCAAACAUCACCAAAUCAACACCCCAGAACCUCCGUCAUCUCCCCUUUCCAAAUAUCUUACCCAGUUCCUUCGAAUUAUCACCAAACAUCUCGAAUCUUAAAUCUAAGAUCGAUGCCUAAACACCCUAGUUCACCAAAAUGCCACCAAAUUAACACCCUACAAUCCUCACACCCCUCCGAACCCUAAACUAGCAUCAAUCCCCUUCGAAUCAGCCUCAAUUUCCUUGAAUUUUGAAUCUGAAGUCCCAGGAACCCUAACUUUCUUUCACUUCCAAAUUUCCGACAGUUUUUGGAGCUUUUGACUCCAAGAUUUCGAUGAAUCCAUUGCUCUUGAUAAGAGCAGUUGAUUGAUGGUUGUCUAAAGUUUAUUUGUACCCCGAAAAGUUGGGUCAAAAUUCAAAGACGAUCUAGUUUUAUUGUUGGAAGAAUUUAGCAAUAGGUAAUCUCUUGUAACUUUUUCUUUAGUUUUUCUUUUGGUUUCAGUCUUUUACCCUUAUUGUUAAUUAUUUUUGAUUUGGCCGUAUGAUUUGGUUACCUUUUCUUUUGUUUAGCUUCAUUAAUUACAUGUUUAGAUUUCAUCAUUAGGAGUUUAAUUUGCCUAGUUUCAGCAUGUCUAGUUUCUGAUACCCCUUUUGUUUUGUUCCUUUUUUCUUUCAUGAUUGUUCAUCUUGCAAGUUUGUUUCCAGUAUCUAUUAGUUUAACUACCUAUUUCAGCUAAUUUCUAAUUGAUUCAGCUUUAGCCUGAUAUAGCCUCAUCUUAGUAAAAAUAGGUUAAUUUUGAUUUUUUGAUGUUUCUUUGCACAAAGCAUGCUCAAUCUCAUUAGUUGUUUGAAUGUGAGACUGCUUAGGGUUAAUUGAGUUUAAGUUUUUCAAUUAGGUUUGAAUCUCUUAAUAGCAACUCAAAUUUUAGUUUAAUAUUAGAAAAGUAAACUGCAAUUCCCUAGGUUUGCAAAUUAGGGCAACCUAAUCACUUGUUUGUUUCUAGAAGGUCCUAAAAUGGUUGGAAUUGAUUUGAAAUUGAAAAUAGGACAAAGCUGAAAUAGUCAGUAAUUAAAAGGUUAAAAUGGACUUUUACAUAGGCUAAUAUCAUAAUGUUCUAGAUUUUGCAUAGCUGUCCCCAUCCUUAGCAUAAAAAUGCUGGUAUUGGAUAAGAAAAAUGAUAGACAACUGUAAAAAAGAUGUUGUACUAUUUUGCAGUUUCAAAAUUAGGUUAGAAUAUUCCUUUUUGGAUGCCUUUUGUACACUCUAUAAAAAGAAAAUAUUCCCUCACUCACACACACAUAUUCAUCACCAUUCUCUGCACAAAAGUUUUCUAAAAAAACAUCAUAUUUCAGAAACUCUAGAAAACAUUUAAAACUCCUUAUUUCUGGUUUUCACAAGCUAAGAAACAUGGUUUGAAGUGGGGGAUUUUCUUGGUUUCUUUAGCUGGGAUUUCUAGUUUCAAAGUUGGCUGGAUUUGGUUUAAAUUUCUAAUUUCUUUUAGGCUGCUGUUACUGUUAUUGAUUUCUGCACCUUCAAGCUUCAGCUGGCUUUCUUUGUUCAUCUUUUUAUUUGCUGGCUUUAUUGCUGUUUGUUCAAGGUACUAUGUUUAACCUUUUUCAUGUAAAGCUUUUAUUUGAAAUGAUAUGAAAUUGAAGCUGCUAGAAUUCAUAUGAUAGUGCAUUCUCAUGAUUAACUUGUGAUUGUGUUGAUUGGGUCUGAUUAGUUUUCUAUUUUAUGAGCUUUUGACAUGGUCAGUUUUGUUUAAAAGAACCUUGAUGUAUUGUAUUUUCUCCUUUUAGAACUAACUUUGUGUGAAGAUGCCUUUUCAGUCACAUGUCUGUAAUCUGCAGAUUUGGCCACCAGUUGGCCAAAUCAGCUAGAUCUAAGCUAAAGAUAGGAUUCUGCUGGUUAAAAGUAUGCUAAAAUUGUUAUUUUCCAUGUGGUGGAUCAACUGUGAUGGACAAAUCAUGUCCAAAAGAGGCAAGUAUUGGUUGUGUUGCUGAAAUUGUAAUAGAGUAGUUUUGUUUACAUAAUAGUUUAUAUGUUAAUAGGUCUGAUGCAACAUGCUUGGGAUUUUCUGGAAAAACAUUCUUCUUUCAUUUGUUUAUUUAUUCGGGACUGUAAUAAAUUAAAUUUUAAUAUCAUGUUAAGGAUCAAAAUAUUUGCUCUAGGGGUACAUUUGUUUUGUCAUUCUAUUAUUACCAUUAUGGUGGAACAAGCUAAGCUAUGAGCCCUAUCCGUAAGGAUAAAGGGCUAUUCUCUAAUUCAAAUGGGCUGAAGCUAUGAGUAAACCCAGAUGAAAAAUACCAAAGAAUCUGGGCUUAGCCCAUUGGGCCUGAGCCACAAGAGUGAAAAAUUGUCUUUCACCCGUAAAAAGGUUUCCUGUAUCAGUCAUAUUGUAAAUAUAUGUUUUUAUUCAUCUUGCAAACCAUGUAAUCAAUUGAUGAAUUAGAGUUAUGUUGUAUAUCCA
rnacentral:lncRNA from 1 species